rnacentral:rRNA from 1 species
UGGGGAAUUUUGCACAAUGGGGGAAACCCUGAUGCAGCGACGCCGCGUGAUUUAGAAGGCCUUCGGGUUGUAAAAAUCUUUUUUAUGGGAUGAAAAUGACAGUACCAUAAGAAUAAGGUCCGGCUAAAUACGUGCCAGCAGCCGCGGUAAUACGUAUGGACCGAGCGUUGUCCGGAAUCAUUGGGCGUAAAGGGUACGUAGGCGGCCCAGUAAGUUAGAAGUGAAAUAAUAUAGCUCAACUAUAUAAAGCUUUUAAAACUGCUAGGCUUGAGGGAUGGAAGGGAAAGUGGAAUUCCUGGUGUAGCGGUGAAAUGCGCAGAUAUUAGGAAGAAUACCGGUGGCGAAGGCGACUUUCUGGUCAUCAUCUGACGCUGGGGUACGAAAGCGUGGGUAGCAAACAGG